AUAGUUCAAAUUGGAGGGAGCUUGGGCAGAUACCACCUUUUCUUUUAAGGAAUGAAUUUGACUUUUGCUGAUGGAGCCUCUCUGAAGGGCAAAUUCAAAGUACAGCUGGGUGCUGCAGCACUGGAGUGCGAACUUGUGGCUGUGGUUAUGAAGGAGCCUCGUCAGCUAUGCCUUUAGCCCCUGGUGAAGCAGUGCCAGUCACACUUUGCCAGUCAAACGGAGAGGCAGCAGUAGUAAGACCAGACCAAAUCAAACCAAACCAAGCAAACCACGGGGAAUGGAGGUCAUGUGAGCACACAGCAUAAAGGCAGCUGCCCACAAGCCAGGAAGAGAAGCAUCAUCAGAAACCGACCAUACUGGCUUCCUGAUCUCAGACUUUCAGCCUCCAGAAUGAGAUGGGGGUGUGAAAGGAAAUGAAAUCUUGGGACCCUAAACUCAUUAAGCCAAAGGGAAAAGCUGGGCCGAGAACUGGAUGAUGCAACCUGCUUCCACCUUUUUGCUUCCUAAAUAAGAUGGCUACAAGAUGAAAAGCUAUACAUCUCUGCCAUAUUUUGCCCACAAGGAAAUUCCUAGUGAGCUUCAAGAUCUUUUAAGGUGUUUCUGUUAAAAUUUCACAAUUUCGCCAUUGCAAUGUAAAUUUAUAGCUUAUCCUUACAGGUGCAGUCAUCUCCCUGCCCACCAGACACAAAGGCAUAUCUGAUUGUUCUCCUGCCCCAUUUUGUCUAUGUUAUCUUAUGUAAAAUACAG
rnacentral:lncRNA from 1 species